UUAAAUCUAUAAAUACUCAUUUCAUCUCUAAAAUUAUGUGAUUUGUACUUUCUAAAAUUCCCUCGAUGGUACUAAUACACUCUUAUAUUUGUAUUGUAAUUAUCAUGUCCUUUUUCUAUGGUUUUUUAAAGUUAAUUUAGAUCCUUAUUCGCUCUAGGUAUAAGUUGAAUGGAAGAGUUUUUUAGCCUUGAUAGAUCUUGAGUACCUGAAUCGCCGAUGAAACAGAGGUUAUUUUCUCGGAAAUUCCACGAAUUGUUCAGGCUUAGAGGUGCAAGGACUUGUGAAAGAGAAGCAUUUGAUUGACCAACGAGUAAUUAGUUUCUCCUCAAGCAUCCCACCACUUUUCUAUUAAAGAAAUACAGGUACGUCUACGCUAUUACUUUUCAUGUCCUUUUACUUAAGAUAUUUAUAUAAAUAUAUAUAAAAAUAAAUAAGAUCCAUCUUUGGUAAUUUUUUUAAAAAUCAAAUCUGUGAAUAUUCAUUUCAUCUCUAAAGUUUUGCGUUUUGUUACUUUUUAAAAUUCCCUCCAUGUUACUAUUACACUCCUAUAUUUGUGUUGUAAUUAUGAUGUCCUUUUUCUAUGGUCUGUUAAAGUUAAUUUAAA